CGACAAGUUGAUGCUGCUGCUGCUGGUCUGCUGCUAAAGCUCGGAAGUGGUAGCUGCUGUGGUGGAGUGGAAGAGACGCGUCUAGGUGCGUGUGCCAGUGAAAAACCCCGUGAUAGAAACCCUCUGUGUGUGUGUUCGUGAGAAGCCCCUAGUGGAGUGUCAGUGAAAACAGUUUUUGCCCAGCUUCUUCUUCAAUGUCGAACGUGAACGCGGCGCAGCGGUUGAGGCAGCGGGAAAAACAAAGCUUGUGAAUCCACUGGCGCGCUAAUGAUGAUGAUUUGUGGUGUCGGUGUGGCUCGCAGCAGUAGUGUGCGUCGAGGCCGCUCCGUAAAAGUGCAAACCCGAGUCGAGGAGGAGAACCGUUCGAGUGGCAGCCCCAGCUCCAGUCCCUGCUUCGGCGGCUAGUGUGUGUGCGAGGGCGCGCGAGUGUGUGUGUGUCAGUGUGGUCUCGGGUACGGUCUUCCCGACACCCAAUUUGCAGUGGCAGUAUCCCCAUCUUCCAGAACCAGAACGGCCCCUCCCCGGGGGCGGACAGUAGCAGCGUCGUCGUCGUCGCCGCCGUCGUCCGGAUCGAGUGCACCUUCCGCACCUAGCCACCGUGGGUCACGUGGGAACGGGGGAAAAUGAAAACUGUCAUCGCGAAGGCCAUCGCGAUCGCCAGCAGCACCAGCGCCAGCGCUAGCGGAAGCGCCAGUACACGGUUGCACCGGAAGCGAUUGUUUGCGUCGACUGCUGUCACUGCGGCCGCCGCCGUCGUCGCUGUCAGUGUGAUUAAUCGAACGAAGCUGAAAAGUUGAAAUCGGUUCGAGUCACCGUCAUCGCCAUCAUCCGUCGUGGUCGUCGUCGUCGUCGUCGUCGUGUUCAUCGUUGUCGUCGUUGUAGCCGUUAGUCGUUAGGAUAAGACAUCCUCACAUCACAUCUUCUUGUUCUCGGUUUGCGCGCUGGAAAUUGCAGUUUACCCAAAUCGCGUGGUGGGGAGGGGAUCGCGGCCACCCAAUCGACCUAGCGUGUAGCCCGUAGUCUCAUAGCGAGUCGCGUAGAGAGAGAAGAAGAGAGAGAGAGAGAGAGCUGCCGGAUGUAAACAUCAUUAUCGCCGUGGGUAUUCCAUUAAUUGUGACAGAGAUCACGAUCACGAUCACGGAACUAGCGGGCUAGCGAACGAAUAGUAGGAAGACGCAAGGAGGCGCAUCACACACACACACAAACGGGAAGCAAAUAAACUGCAGCAUACCUUCAACGAUUGCCACAUCAUUGCUUUGAAGGAGGAUUAUUACCAUCUCGUACCAUUCCUUCCACCACCGGUUACGCAACGAAAGAGGGCCCCUGCAAGAAGUUUCGUGCACAUAGCAACAGCAGCAAGGGCAGCCCACCGGAAACGCUACUGCUGGAUGGUAUCGCAAAGCUUCCCCGUUGAUUGGUGACUGGUGUAUUUUGAGCGGCAUCAAAAUUGGCAGCAUCAAUCAUAUUUGUAAUCAAGUUCGCGUUAGUGUAAAACCGCCGUAAGGAUUAAUAAUCAACUUAGCAGUCUAACGAAACAUUCAUGCGUAGCAUAAGAACUAGUAAUACUACUACUACUACUACUACCAGUACUAAGGAUAAUAUUUGAAUUCUAUAACCACCACAAAAUCACACACUGACACACACACACACACACAUACUCACAUCAUCGGACACAGUGACAAAAUUACACUAGUACGGUAAUAAUAUGAAUAUUGCAUUUAAAGUAACACGUUCCGUGGAAGUGACUACAUAAGGUGGUGGUGGUGCUGG